rnacentral:lncRNA from 1 species
GUUAUCGUUCUCUCGCCUCCUUCGCGUCCGAGUGCCCGAAGCUCGACUGAAAGCUGAAAACUCAGGGGACCUGCAACGGUACUCAGUUGGGUACUAAAUUAUCACAUUGGAGGUAAAUGUAUGAGUGCAAGACUUACUGUAGUAUACUCCGGACCAAAAACCAUCAGCGAAGGGGGAAAAGCAAGACAAGUGGGAGGAAACGAGUUGAGGUAAAUUCGAGACGAGAUAUCGAAACGGCUAUCGAAGUCUUGGAACGUUGAGGCAGAGCGUAAAUGGGGUCACUUCACUGCCGAAGGUGAACCACUCUGCUGUGUGUAGCUUAUAAUACUCACAGUCUAACAAUUCCAACAGCUCGCUCCGGGAUCCGUUCACAUUCUCAGGUGACUAAUGCGUGGCGAUCGAUUAUUAUUUACUAAUUUUCGUGGCUCGAUUUUGUAUGCGAUUUGUAAAUAGAUUCGACUAAAAUUUUAUUACCCGUACGAAUUCUUGUCUACGUAGAUUGGCAUAUACAUGUCAUUUUUAUUUUUAUUAUCUUGUUUAGAUGCCCCAUAUUAUGAAUAAACAAUUUUUUAAAUAUAUAUAUAUAUAUAUAUAUAUAAAUAAUAGAAUACUACAAAUACACUUAUAGCUUAAUAAUAUAUUCAUAUUUUUCUUCGGUACUAUACCGGUGAGUACGAAAAUACCUUAUCGUGUUUAAGAAUGUCGACGAACUUGAUCUGCAGGUCGCUCGUCGAGCGCCAACACGAGGAAUAACUUAUGUGUUGAAACUCAGGAGAAUAAAUACAUACAUAAUUCAAAUAAAUAAAUAUGUCGUAUGCGUACUUUAAGAAGUAA